rnacentral:rRNA from 1 species
UACGAAGGGGGCUAGCGUUGCUCGGAAUCACUGGGCGUAAAGCGCACGUAGGCGGAUUGCUAAGUCAGGGGUGAAAUCCUGGAGCUUAACUCCGAAACUGCAUUCGAUACUGCCGUGCUUGAGGACUGGAGAGGAGACUGGAAUUUACGGUGUAGCGGUGAAAUGCGUAGAUAUCGUAAGGAAGACCAGUGGCGAAGGCGGGUCUCUGGACAGUUCCUGACGCUGAGGCACGAAGGUCAGGGGAGCAAACGGG